ACAUUAAUGGAUAUCAUUAUCGCCAAACAGGGCUCAAUAUAGUAGCAACGUCUAGAGAAACAAAGCUAGGAAAUUCAUUUAUAUUCACUAUAAGGUCCUCCUCCUCAAGAUCAAUAUGAUCUCCCUAACCCUAAGUCAUGUCAGCUAGCAUCGAGAGGGAAAGAAAAAUUCCAAGCUGCCUUCCUUGCACGAUCUCUAUCCCUGCAGGCUCAGCGUGUAUAUAUAAGGGAGGAAAGGAGAAAGCAAACUGAUCAUAUGCAUGCCUAGAUACAUGAGUACCCAUGCGUGCAUGCGAGCUAAAUUUGUAAGGAGAAAGAGGAGGAAGAGAGCUCAAGGAUCUAUUGAUCUUCAUACAAGGUAACAUGUCGAUUAAUUCCCUACUAUCUCUUUAAUUUCUUGCAAUAAUGACACCCCAAAAGCCAAAAUGUGAUAGCCAACAUAUAUAAAUAUAUAUAUAUGUGUGUGUAUAGAGGCAAAGAUGAGUUGGCUUUAUCAAAGGCCAGCCCAGCUAUUUUGCCUCUAUAUAUACACAUAUAUAUAUACAUAUAUAUAUUUAUAUAUAUCUUUCGGCUUCUUUCCUUUGCUCCAGCAUUGACAAGGCCAACUCAUGCAUGUCUGCGUUUGGAAUUAGCUAGGUUUUUGGGACCCUCAAACUGAUCUAUUCACCAGCCGGGUUAAUUCCUAGCUAUUUUGUUUUGCAGAAUGUUUCGUACGUAAACUUGAUAGCUAGUGUGGAAUAUUUUAUAUCAUCAACUGAUCAAUAAAUAUUUAAGCAGCAAAUUAAGGAAAGGUAUAAAUUAUUACAAAUAAUUCUGGUGCUCAGGGCCUCAGAUCACCAUGCAUGCUUGUUUCAUUGCAUUAAGUACACGUACUGCAUAAAUAUCUUGAUGGUUCGUGACCUUUAUCUAUGAUUUAAUUUCAGUUUCAACUUAAUCUCGUAGUUAAUUAAUUAGCUUAUUAUAGACAAAAUAUAAAUAUAAUCUAGCAAAUUGAAAAAUACUUCCCGAAACGAUUGCAGGCAGACAGCAAUAUCAGAAAGUUAAUAUAUGCAUGCAGUGGCUGCAAAAGUGAUUGAACGGAUCGACUGAACCUACGAAGUGCCUCAUGCAUGCGGGUGGUUGUAUACAUACAUAUCUAUAUAACUCCAAAAAGAAAAGAAAAAGAUUCUCUCGGUUUGAUUCAUAAAUGCUAAUUGAACAGAACCAACACUCUAGCUCUCCCCCUGAUCUACUCCAUAAAUGCUACAUUAAAAGCUCCAUCUUUGAUCUUUGUCCCGGUCCGUGAGCUUUUUCACGAUUCCUGUACCUUCUUAAAUUAAUACUCCAACUUCUUUUUUGUUGGGUGGUUGGAAAUUUAAAUGCAACAUCUUCAAUGCUACAUCACCGGCCAUCUAUUUUUGUUUGCAUAUCGGAAGUCAUGACCUUCUUUAAGACAUGGGUGUCUGAUCAUCUGCUCUCUAUGUCUCGUUUUAAUUUGUCGAUCCAUGACCAUGCACCUCCCCUGGCCACUACUUCUCGCCCUCCUCGCACAGCUAUCGAUCAGAGCUAAGCACUUCUCGCUUCCAUUUAAGAACUGCAUUUUCUCCAUAUAUACCCGAAGACUUUUCUCGUAACUAGGUUUUGGUAUCAUGUAUUGAUACCUUGUACUUAGUAUUAUUACUAACCACCUUGUUUAUUGUUGUUGUGUUUGUUUUUAUAUUAUUGCAGACCAUAUAGUACUGUUGCUCAGGAUAUGUGAAUAUGCAUGGUGAUGGAGAAUAAUUAUGAAUAAGUUUAACGGGAUAUUGGUCCGGUUCAAUAAGAAAUCUGUGCCCAAAAUGUUUCGGGCCCUGCUUUUUGAUUGAGCCGCGCCAAUAUCACGUUCCACCGCUCCCAAGCAGCCCUAGUGAGUCGAGUCUUUGUAUAUAUCUGUUUUAUCACAAGGGUUCAAACUCUUCGUUCUUAGCUAGUCUCGGUUGGGUUGGUAAACCCACUGGAUAUGGAAGGUAAAUUUGGUUUCAGUUUUCAUGUUCAGUACAUUUCGAAAGUAGCUGAGAUGCUUAAUUGGCAGGUUGUACGCGUACGUUGAUGCUGGAAACACAGCAGCCACAUUCAUGUUUAGGUGAGAUAUGCUAGCUUGAAGUUAGUUGAUAUCAGUCGAGGCUUUAAGCUGCUUAUUUACUACUCACAUUUUGCAGUACUAGAGAAGAAAAAAAGUAUAUAUGGAGCUUUAAAGAGUACUCGAGAUUGGUUUUGAAAGUUGAGGGUUUAAGAUUAAUACAGUUGCUGUUACCCAUUGUUCUUUUUGGAGAAAGAUAGUCAGAACAGGAUAAGAUCAUGAUCAGCUAGGCCAAAGCUGGCCAGUUUGGUAUCAUGUACCUGUCUAAUGUACUCUAUAUAUAAUAAACAUCUGGCCAGUUUGCAA